GCCCCCACUCUCCUCCCCGAACCAAGGAGAGAACCCAGGUGUCCUGGCUCCAAGCUCUAGCCCACCAGCCCCCACUCUCCUCCCCGAACCAAGGAGAGAACCCAGGUGUCCUGGCUCCAAGCUCUAGCCCACCAGCCCCCACUCUCCUCCCCGAACCAAGGAGAGAACCCAGGUGUCCUGGCUCCAAGCUCUAACCCACCAGCCCCCACUCUCCUCCCCGAACCAAGGAGAGAACCCAGGUGCCCUGGCUCCAAGCUCUAGCCCACCAGCCCCCACUCCCCUCCCCGAACCAAGGAGAGAACCCAGGUGUCCUGGCUCCAAGCUCUAGCCCACCAGCCCCCACUCUCCUCCCCGAACCAAGGAGAGAACCCAGGUGCCCUGGCUCCAAGCUCUAGCCCACCAGCCCCCCUCCCCUCCCCGAGCCGGGGGAGAACCCAGGCGUCCU